rnacentral:lncRNA from 7 species
ACAUCAACAUAUUCAGCAAAUGUCCUGUUUGGCUGCAGUGGACUAGCUUUAUGUGGGGUUAAGUCAAGCAGUUGCUUUUAGUUGGUCAGGUUAUUAUUUACUAGUAGAGAGCCAGGUUUUAGCAUUAACCCGAGUUGUUAACCCAAAGUACCCUUUCCAAACGGAAAGAAUAUGUAACACCCAAAAUCCUAAUUUUGGGGAUUCAUAAAAGUUUGCCCAAAAUAGUGGAGUUAAAAAAUGGAACUAGACUUAGAAGAAAAUAAACAAUAAAUGAUGGUAUGAAGGGAGUGUUUCUUUCAUGAACUAUAAGAUUGGGAACACCUUUCAAAGUAUUCAAGUAACUUUUAAUAUAGUAUAUAAAUGUCUAUCCCGCAAAAUAAGUAAGAUGCAAAUAUUCACUCUUGAAUUAACUCUUAAAUGGGCACACAAAAAAAGAAUGAAAUCUUCCUAAAAUAAAUAACAGGUGAAUUAUUCUUUACUAUAUGUUUUAAGGCAUUUACUUCAAGGUAUAUAUAAUUGUAAGUAAGUAAAUGAUCAGAAAUACACUUGCAUUAGUGUUUGGUUGUUGUGUUGUACAUUUAGUCUAUAAUGGAAUCCUAAAACUGGAUUUGCUUUGGUCUUGAAAUUGUAGAAAU